rnacentral:misc_RNA from 1 species
GAUGAAGAACGAAGUGAAAUGCGAUACUUGGUGUGAAUUGCAGAAUCCCGUGAACCAUCGAGUCUUUGAACGCAAGUUGCGCCCGAAGCCAUCAGGUUGAGGGCACGUCUGCCUGGGCGUCACAUAUCGUUGCCCAAUGCCUAUUGCAGUGCAAUAGGAAUUUCUAGGGCGAAUGAUGGCUUCCCGUGAGCGUUGUUGCCUCGCGGUUGGUUGAAAAUCGAGUCCUUGGUAGGGUGUGCCAUGGUAGAUGGUGGUCGAGUUAGAACGAUACCGAUCAUGUGCAUGCUCCCCAAAAUAUGGCCUCUAUGACCCACACGCGUCUUUUGACGCUCAUGACGAGACCUCAGGUCAGGAGGGGCUACCCGCUGAAUUUAAGCAUAUCAAUAAGCGGAGGA